CACGUAGGGUGCGAGCGUUGUCCGGAAUUAUUGGGCGUAAAGAGCUCGUAGGCGGUGUGUCGCGUCGGCCGUGAAAACCUGCAGCUUAACUGUGGGCUUGCGGUCGAUACGGGCAUCACUGGAGUUCGGCAGGGGAGACUGGAAUUCCUGGUGUAGCGGUGAAAUGCGCAGAUAUCAGGAGGAACACCGGUGGCGAAGGCGGGUCUCUGGGCCGAUACUGACGCUGAGGAGCGAAAGCCGUGGGGAGCGAACAGG
rnacentral:rRNA from 1 species